rnacentral:rRNA from 1 species
GAAAUAUGAUACUUGGUGUAAAUUGCAGAAUCCUGUGGACCAUCGAGUCUUUGAAUGCAAGUUGCACCUGAAGCCAUUAGGCCAAGGGCACAUCUGCCUGGGGUCAUGCAACGUCGCCGCUGUCCAUCCCGUGGGCGCGACAGAUGAUGGCUUCCCAGGAGCC